GAGGAUUCAAGGAUACUCAACCACCCACCCAAGCUGAUGUCAUGCAAAAUGAUCAGGCAUUGAUGCUCAUCGCUCCUGCAUCUCUACCACUCCAGGGGGAGAAAGGAUGCCGGGCACCACCCCGUCGGAGCCAUCUGCCCAAGGGUCAACCCUGAGAGCCCAUACAGUUACCCGAGACCAGCUUGAGUGCUCUCCCAGCAAAUUGAGGGGGAUAUUUUAGCAAUCAUCUUUGCAUUAAGGUAUCGGGUGUGGUGAUAGGGGUACAGCUGGGAUGGGAUAAUGUUCCUGCCCUCCUGAUAGGACUGGACCACCUCUCCUGGGAUUCAAGGCAGAGCAAAACAUGUGAUGUUUACAGGAUAUGUAAGGGAGACCCCACCAUUCCCCUUACCAUGGCUUGUUCAAUCUGAGCGCCAUCCAAAUGUCAUGGAAAGGUCUCGCAGCAGAAGUGCUGUUUCCCGAGUGCAAGGAUGUGGAAAAUUAUUCCCAGUCACCCACUUUCAUGGCUGCUGAAUCUGGGCCUCUCCUGCAACUGGUCUUCAGCUUCGUCAACCCCUCUUCUCCCUCUUGCUUGCAGGAAGAAAAUUGAGGAGAACAAGGCUGGAUUCUCAGGGUCCCUAUUUUUGCCAUUUGGAGAUGCCUUGCUAAACGUGUGUUAGCGUGACUUUUUAACCCUGUCAUGUUUCGCAGUAGAUGCAUCUUAUCUCUAGCAUGGAGGCAUUACGUGGGCUUUGAAGUGCUGAGUUGAGGAGCUGGCCCUUCCCACGCUUCAGCUGCACAGAGUAGCAACCACAGGAUGGAGGUUAGUAUUCUGGAGCCAAGCACAUCCGCUGUUAGAAACUGACUAUAUGUCAUCCCUUUGGAGGGGAACAAUCACCCCGUGGAGAGAGCCCACCAUUUACCUCCUGAUGGUCAGCCAAGGAAGGAAGGAAGGAAGGAAGGACGGAAGGACGGAAGGACGGAAGGACGGAAGGACGGAAGGACGGACGGACGGACGGAUGGACGGACGGAAGAUUAUCAGACUCUCCUCUCCAUUUUUUCUUCUUGACAGCCCUGGGAGAAAGCUCUUUGCUUUGGACCCAGCCUCUGUUUACCGAAGCGUCCGGAUCCCACCUUUGGCUUCCCAGGACCAGAGGAGGGGAUCGGUCGCUGGAUGUGAAACUUGAACCCCUUUCUCUCCAUGCUGGCCAGCCAAUACAGCACCUGCUCUUGUUGUAUUGCU
rnacentral:lncRNA from 1 species